rnacentral:rRNA from 1 species
CAGGCUUAACACAUGCAAGUCGAGGUGCAGCAUGUCCAGCAAUGGAUGAUGGCGACCGGCGGAAGGGUGCGUAACGCGUGAGCAACAUGCCCUAUACAGGGAGAUACACCAGGGAAACUUGGUCUAAUAUCCCAUAGCAUUCAUUGAAGGCAUCUNUAAUGAAUUAAAGCUUCGGUGGUAUAGGAUUGGCUCGCGUGACAUUAGCCAGAUGGUGAGGUAACGGCUCACCAUAGCAAUGAUGUCUAGGGGUUUUGAGAGGAAGGCCCCCCACACUGGGACUGAGACACGGCCCAGACUCCUACGGGAGGCAGCAGUGAGGAAUAUUGGACAAUGGAUGGAAAUCUGAUCCAGCCAUGCCGCGUGCAGGAAGACGGCCUUAUGGGUUGUAAACUGCUUUUAUACGGGAGCAAUAAGGGUUACGAGUAAUCCGAUGAGAGUACUGUAUGAAUAAGGAUCGGCUAACUCCGUGCCAGCAGCCGCGGUAAUACGGAGGAUCCGAGCGUUAUCCGGAAUUAUUGGGUUUAAAGGGUGCGUAGGCGGCCAUUUAAGUCAGCGGUGAAAUUUUGCAGCUUAACUGUAACAGUGCCGUUGAUACUGUUUGGCUAGGAUCUGGUUGUAGUGUGCGGAAUGUGUGGUGUAGCGGUGAAAUGCUUAGAUAUCACACAGAACACCGAUUGCGAAGGCAGCACACUAAGUCAUUAUUGACGCUGAGGCACGAAAGUGUGGGGAUCAAACAGGAUUAGAUACCCUGGUAGUCCACACUGUAAACGAUGAUAACUCGCUGUCGGCGAUACACAGUCGGGGCCAAGCGAAAGC